UAUCCCCGGCGCGGGCGCAGGGGCCGCCGGGAGCUGUAGUCCCGGGCCAUGGCAGCGGCGGGCAGGCCCAGGCCAGGCGGCGGUCGUACGGUGCCGCUCGCCAGCGGCCGCAGCAUCCCGGUGCUGGGGCUCGGUACUUCCCACCAAGGUGGCUAUUCCCACAGUGCAGUGGUCCAUGCAUUACAAAAAUGUGGCAUUCGUCACAUUGACACAGCAAAAAGAUACGGCUGUGAACCUCUCCUCCAAAAGGCCAUCAAAGAGAGUGACGUGAAGCGAGAGGAUCUCUGGAUAACUACCAAACUCUGGCAUAGUGAUUACGGCUAUGAAAACACAAAAAAGGCCUGCUUGGAGUCAUGUGAAAGACUUGGCGUUGAAUAUCUUGAUCUGUAUUUAAUGCACUGGCCUGAUGCACAUGUUCUGGGUAAAAGCAAUCGAGAGGUCCGAGCUGAAACCUGGAGAGCGAUGGAAGAGCUCUAUGAGAAAGGUUUGUGUAAAUCAAUCGGCGUAAGCAACUUUCUUAUCAGCCAUCUUGACCAACUAAAGGAAGACUGUGUCAUUACUCCACAUGUUAAUCAGGUUGAAUACCACCCUUUCCAAAGACCUCAGGAGCUGGUUGAUUAUUGUAAGAGCCGAGAUAUUGUCUUUGAAGGCUACUGUCCUUUGGCCAAAGGGGAAGCACUAACUCAUCCUACUAUCAUUCAGAUGGCAAAGAAGUAUGGCAGAACUCCAGCACAGAUUUGCAUACGCUGGAGUAUACAGAAUGGGAUUGUCACUAUUCCAAAGUCAACAAAAGCAGAAAGGAUAGAGGAAAACUGCAAGGUGUUUGAUUUUACAAUAGCAGAAGACGAUGUUGGAAUUCUGAAUGGAAUGCAUGAUGGGAGACAUGUUUCCUGGGAUCCAAGCCUUAUUGAGUGAACGAAGGUGUGAUGAGCAGUUUUGCACAUUGUGCCUCACUAAGAGCCAUUGUUUUCUGCUAGAAGCUAUUAAUUGCCCUAGGAGACUGGAACCCUGUUAUCUCCUGUGUCCUUGAGAUAAGUCACUGGAGCCUCUUCCUUUGAAUACGGUUUUUGAUUUUAAUCUGAGGAAAGAAGAUAAGGAAUUUUUGAACACUAUGAAUAUCAACAGAAAAUUAAUUCAUCUAACCUGUCCCCUGUGGAAACUAUAAUUUAAAACCAGAUUCUUCUAGAUUGCAAAAGUGAUGCAACUGAAGCAUUAAUUCAUUUUAAACUGAAAAAUAAAUCUGAAUUGUUCUCUUAGAUAUUCAAAGAAUACCUAAGAAUUAUCACACAAGAAUCAGUAUCAAUUGUUUGUAUUUACUGUUAUGUUAACAAAUUAAUAAAAUAAUUUAAUUUGCUC